UUGCAGGUAGUCUGAUUCCCCAAAUGGUAUGUAUGGAAUUGUCCAAAGUUGAGGCUCAGGCAGAACUAAGGGGGCAAGUCCAACCAGCGUUCAACCAAGAGGGCUAAUGGUCCUCUUGAGCAAGGCACACAAAUCUCAAAGUGGUCCCGGGUGCACUUUGUUGGCCCCUGCUCCAGUGUAGCACAAGUUGUAGAGGGGUUAAAUGUUGACAAAUUCUUGAAGAUUUCAUGAUAAUGUGCCAAAAGGUCAAAGUAAACACAUGCGGCAUUUCGAAUGACAUGCGCAACUGCAGAGCCACUGAUAUUUGAGCAUUCCCGCGCUAGUGUGCUCAUGCGUUCAACCGCACGCAUGCAACAGCAGCAACUAUAUGCAAAUUUACGCCACGCUCUUUCAUGGAGGAAACAAUCCCACCAGACAAAACCAGAUUGUGCCCGGCUUCCUGGCUUGGUUUCUUUUUCGUGUGCCUCUUUGGACGGACUCCUUCAAUAUUACUGCUAUGGAUCACAUUCUUGAAGGAAAGAAAUCACUACCUUACCCAGUGGAACCUGUCAAUGAAGAGCAUGAAGGUGAUGUAAGAGCCACUCCUCGCGGGACAGCCUUCGAAUCAAACCUACAAAAUCUGGUUUGUGGAAAGACUUUUCCUCACAGGUAUAUUUAAUAUUUGUUUGAAGUUGAAGUCUUUCUGGAAUUGAGCAAAAUGUAAUGAGGAGCCUACCGUGUGACUCUUGAGCAAAUUUCUGCUUCA